AUACGGAGGGGGCUAGCGUUGUUCGGAUUUACUGGGCGUAAAGCGCGCGUAGGCGGACCUGCAAGUCGGGGGUGAAAGCCCGAGGCUCACCCUCGGAACUGCCUUCGAUACUGCGGGUCUUGAGUCCGGGAGAGGUGAGUGGAAUUCCUAGUGUAGAGGUGAAAUUCGUAGAUAUUAGGAAGAACACCAGUGGCGAAGGCGGCUCACUGGCCCGGUACUGACGCUGAGGUGCGAAAGCGUGGGGAGCAAACAGGAUUAGAAACCCUAGUAGUCC
rnacentral:rRNA from 1 species